rnacentral:rRNA from 1 species
UAGCCUACGGGGCGCAGCAGUGAGGAAUAUUGGUCAAUGGGCGAGAGCCUGAACCAGCCAAGUCGCGUGAGGGAGUACUGCCCUAUGGGUUGUAAACCUCUUUUGUCGGGGAGCAAAAGCCGGACGUGUCCGGCUGUGAGAGUACCCGAAGAAAAAGCAUCGGCUAACUCCGUGCCAGCAGCCGCGGUAAUACGUAGGGGGCAAGCGUUAUCCGGAUUUACUGGGUGUAAAGGGUGCGUAGGUGGCAGGGCAAGUCAGAUGUGAAAGCCCGGGGCCCAACCCCGGUACUGCAUUUGAAACUGUCC